rnacentral:rRNA from 1 species
GAUGAACGCUGGCGGCAUGCCUAAUACAUGCAAGUCGAACGAGAGGAAGGAAAGCUUGCUUUUCUGAAUCUAGUGGCGAACGGGUGAGUAACACGUAGGUAACCUGCCCAUGUGCCCGGGAUAACUUCUGGAAACGGAUGCUAAAACCGGAUAGGUAGCAGACAAGCAUUUGACUGCUAUUAAAGUGGCUAAGGCCAGGAACAUGGAUGGACCCGCGGUGCAUUAGCUAGUUGGUGAGGGAACGGCCCACCAAGGCGACGAUGCAUAGCCGGCCUGAGAGGGCGGACGGCCACAUUGGGACUGAGACACGGCCCAAACUCCUACGGGAGGCAGCAGUAGGGAAUUUUCGUCAAUGGGGGGAACCCUGAACGAGCAAUGCCGCGUGAGUGAGGAAGGUCUUCGGAUCGUAAAGCUCUGUUGUAAGAGAAAAACGACAUUCAUAGGGAAUGAUGAGUGAGUGAUGGUAUCUUACCAGGAAGUCACGGCUAACUACGUGCCAGCCGCCGCGGUAA